CUCAAUUUCUUCCUGAGGGGCCUGGAGUCACGCCCACAGGCCAAAUCUUCACCUUUGCAGCCAGUUGCAAAUCAAACAAUUGCUGAAGCUUCAAGCCGCUGCUUCACCAUAUCCUGCCUUUUGAGGCCAAACUACUGUACAAGCCCCAGAAUAAAUGUUGCUGGUAGCUCAUCCUGUGACCUCCUGCAUGGCUAUCCUGAUGCACUGUCAAAUCCAAGAUGAACCAUACAGGAUGAUUGGGGAAGGUGGC
rnacentral:lncRNA from 1 species